ensembl:lncRNA
AUUUGGGACUGAAGCGUGCAGGCUGGUGACGCUCCAAAAGCAGGUUUAUGAAGCUUGAACUCCUGUGGGUGUGCUAAGAGCUGUGACUCAGAGGAGAAACAGGAAGUAUUUUGUGCUCAAAAACUUCACCCCCUCCACUAAAUCUCUUCCUCUGUCUGUCUUCAAGCUGAGAAAAAGUCCUACAGCAAGACAUAUUUAAUUUCCAAUUUCUCCAACGUUGGGCCUCUUGCGUAGUCACGGAUAGGCAUCUCCCCGUCGCUCGGUCACUCAAACCCUACACCUCAAAACACAGCCGGAUGAAUAGAACGAUAGAGGGGUGAAGACGAAGGCGGAGGAGUGAUCAGACCGGCGUGUAGCUCUGUCAGGCAACCCGACUCUCCUCGCCGUGGGGCGUCCUCGGGUUUUAUUCCCCCGGGUCCAGUUACCGGCUACACGUAAGCUUAACCAGGCCAGAUGAACACACACACACGGACAGACACAGUCACGGACACGCAA